ACAUAAGCAAAUCUGAGCGCGGAUUUACUGUUAUAAAUCUCCAUCUAUUCUAAGCUGCAAACCUGUGCAAUAAUUCAAGUACUGAUCACGUCGCGAAGGGUUGCCUUAUGUAGCAGGUCUGCCAGUUUCUCUGCUAUAAAAGCUGGUGACCGACAUGUGUUCUACGUCAGUGGAUCAGCUAAAACCCAGAAUGAAGGCCGUUCUGCUCUUCUGUGUGGUGGCUGUGACCGCGGCCGACAAGUCAGCGAGAAUUGCCAACCAUCAGUAUGGCAUCGAGGAGGACGGCUCAUACCAGUCCAACUACGAGACAACCAACGGCAUCAAGGCCCAGGAGGACGGCAUCUCCUACCCCGGCAACAUCCCCGAGUCUGGCAACUACGUGAGGAGCGGCUCGUACUCGUACGAAUGGGAGGGCGUCACCUACACGGUCACCUGGACGGCCGACGAGAAUGGCUUCCACCCGGAGGGUGACCACUUGCCCGACUUCAGCCACACUCGCGAACAUAUCGGAGGCAUCGAAGAACACCUCUGAACUGCUAUAUUGGUUCCAUAACCGAAUGCCUGUUGCCGAUCAAAAAUAAAAUUCCAGGGUCCCUCUAUCGCGCAGGUGCUCUGCCUGCUCUGCCUGGUGACUCUGCUGGCUCUGACCGCCGAGGCCGACAAGACGGCCAGCAUCGUCAACCAGUACUACAACAACGACGGCAACGGCAACUUUGUCAACAGGUUUGAAACAUCGAAUGGCAUAGCUUCUGAGGAAGAGGCAGUCUUCUACCCCGGUCCGGAACCCGAGUCUGGAACGUUCGCGAGGAGCGGCUUCUUCUCGUACGACUGGGAGGGCGUCACCUACAAAGUGUACUGGAAGGCCGACCAGGAUGGCUUCCUAGCGACUGGCGAUCACCUGCCCAAUGGUGGCGAUGGUGAACAAUAUGGGCUUCUAUUUUAAGCACAGAAGGAAAUAAAUGAAACAUGAAAACGACGUCCAGCAGAAGGACGAAGAAAAUGGGUGACUGAACAGCGAGCAUAGUCUACAUUCACUGAGCCCGUCGAGUGAAACAGUGUCAAAUAAAGCAAAACACAGUGUCCCUGUAUGAAUGAAUGAAUGAAAUAAAGCAGA
rnacentral:misc_RNA from 1 species